rnacentral:rRNA from 1 species
UGGGGAAUAUUGGACAAUGGGCGAAAGCCUGAUCCAGCAACGCCGCGUGAGGGAUGACGGCCUUCGGGUUGUAAACCUCUUUCAGUAGGGACGAAGCUAACGUGACGGUACCUACAGAAGAAGCACCGGCCAACUACGUGCCAGCAGCCGCGGUAAUACGUAGGGUGCGAGCGUUGUCCGGAAUUAUUGAGCGUAAAGGGCUCGUAGGCGGUUUGUCGCGUCAGGAGUGAAAACUCGGGGCUUAACUCCGAGCCUGCUUCUGAUACGGGCAGACUAGAGGUAUGCAGGGGAGAACGGAAUUCCUGGUGUAGCGGUGAAAUGCGCAGAUAUCAGGAGGAACACCGGUGGCGAAGGCGGUUCUCUGGGCAUUACCUGACGCUGAGGAGCGAAAGUGUGGGGAGCGAACAGGAUUAGAUACCCUGGUAGUCCACACCGUAAACGUUGGGCGCUAGGUGUGGGACUC